GACGAACGCUGGCGGCGUGCUUAACACAUGCUAGUCGAACGAUGAAGCCGGAGCUUGCUCUGGUGAAUUAGUGGCGAACGGGUGAGUAACACGUGAGUAACCUGCCCUUGACUCUGGGAUAACUGCUAGAAAUGGUAGCUAAUACCGGAUACGACCCUCGGAGGCAUCUCCAGGGGGUGGAAAGAAUUUCGGUCAAGGAAGGACUCGCGGCCUAUCAGCUAGUUGGUGAGGUAACGGCUCACCAAGGCGACGACGGGUAGCCGGCCUGAGAGGGUGACCGGCCACACUGGGACUGGGACACGGACCAGACUCCGACGGGAGGCAGCAGUGGGGAAUAUUGCACAAUGGGCGCAAGCCUGAUGCAGCAACGCCGCGUGAGGGAUGACGGCCUUCGGGUUGUAAACCUCUUUUAGUAGGGAAGAAGCGAAAGUGACGGUACCUGCAGAAAAAGCACCGGCUAACUACGUGCCAGCAGCCGCCGUAA
rnacentral:rRNA from 1 species